AAACUUAUGGGAUAUACUGAUUUCAGUUUCUAAUUAGAUUGUGAUGAUAACAAAAGUGUGUCAGGCUAUGUAUUUACUCUGAAUGGAGGAGCUAUUUGCUAGAAGAGUUUCAAGCAACAUAUUGUGAUCGAUUUUUUAUAUGCGAAGUAGAAUACAAUGCUACAUCAGAUGCUGUAAAAUAUUCUGUACUACUAUCAUCUGGGACAAG
rnacentral:lncRNA from 1 species